AAGUAAUUACUUUUGUUUAUAUUGCGCAUCAGGUCCUACUCUGUGAAUGAGGUGCCUUUCUUCUGUAUUCCUCUUACAUAAUGAGGUGCCAUGAGAAAUGAACGAUAGAUUUAAGCUUCAGUGUGUUUAUUAGAUUUCCCAUUAAAAUAUCUUUGUCUGCAGUAUGUACUUCAUAGAUUUUAAAGUACAAUUUUUGUAAAAUUAGGAAUUUAGACAUGUUCUUAGAAAUCACAUAAGACCUUUCUGAAACAUGUUAACAAUACUCAUUUGACAGAGUGUGUCUGAUGCUAAUGGACAACAAGAAGCUUCCAUGGAAGCUCCGCAUUCAUCCAAUAUGAACGAAGAUGCAGAAGAAAAUGUAAUAAGGCAUCUAGAGAAAAAAACUGUCAUGGAAGACCAAAAGCAGACCUCAGGAGAAGAGCAGAAACAGCACAGUGGUGGAAAAACUAAGCGGUCAUUUGACAAGCCUGCCACAAUUGCCCGACACCUUCUCUGACCAUCCAUCCACAGCAGGACAGCCGAGGAGGAAAUCUGCCCUUCUCCACUAAUUGUUUCAAGAAAAACCAUGUGUUUAUUUUGUGUUUUAUUAUAUUAUGUUAUAUUAUAAAUUAUACUAUUCUAUUAUCUUCAGUGUUUAUUUCUGUGUGUUUAUUUUUUA